rnacentral:rRNA from 1 species
AGUGGGGAAUUUUGCGCAAUGGGCGAAAGUCUGACGCAGCAACGCCGCGUGACCGAUGAAGCUUCUAGGAGUGUAAAGGUCUGUCGUGAGGGAAGAACAACUCGGAUGCGAAUAGUGUUCGAGCCUGACGGUACCUCACAAGAAAGCACCGGCUAACUUCGUGCCAGCAGCCGCGGUAAUACGAGGGGUGCUAGCGUUGUCCGGAAUUACUGGGCGUAAAGGGUCCGUAGGCGUCUUGGAAAGUUGUUCGUUAAAUCCACCGGCUCAACCGGUAACCUGCGAACAAAACUACUAGGAUAGAGUAUGGGAGAGGAAAGUGGAAUUCCUGGUGUAGCGGUGACAUGCGUAGAUAUCAGGAGGAACACCGAUGGCGAAGGCAGCUUUCUGGCCCAAUACUGACGCUGAGGGACGAAAGCGUGGGGAGCAAACAGGAUUAGAUACCCUGGUAGUCCACGCCGUAAACGAUGAGUACUUGACGGUGGGUGAUUCGACCCUCCCACUGUCGGAGCU